GAAACAGAGGCGGCUGGGCGUCGUACUCGCCACACCAGUCACUCGUCGCACCAUGCCAACCUUAAUAGGUGCUCACUAACAAGCACUCGAUCUGUGCGUACGUGGAGAAGAGCCAGGUCGUGGUUUGUACGCUGGAGAAGACUCUGAUGACUUUUGGGUCAAUUUCAAGCGACAUGCAACACCGUUGACAUUGACCCACAGCGGAGGCGUUUUGUGGUGGCGCUCGGCUCAUCGAUGCUUUACCCGCAAUGCCUCUGAUCACUUGAGCAAGGGAACCCUGCCGGCUAAGUUGAGAUGUCCAGCAGGGCCGCGUCACAAAGUUACAACCACGAGACAAAGUACAGUGACGUGACCUGCGGGGCCUCUUUCGCAGCCCGGCGUUGCUCCCUGAACUUCGACGCUGCCGCUGCGAUGCUCGAGAUUUCUAAAAAAUGUAAAAAAUAACUAAAAAUGUUUGCGCAACAAGGAACGUGAAAGCAAAACCCGUGAGAGAUUUACCGUGACACGCUCGGUUCGAAUCCCCUCUUUUCCACGUUUGUAAAAAUAAAAAAAACAAAGACA